UAUGCUUCUUUUUGAUAACUGGUAGAAAAAGGCAGAAAAUUUUAGGUUUUGAAAUGCUCUCAAAAAGCGGUCACGUAUUUCAACUUAAUGUCACUUAUAAACAACGGAAGGGAAAUUUUCAUCCUCCCCCCACCCCACUACUGACUGCAUUUGUGAAAAAUUCUUACUUUAUGACUAGAAUAACUUAAAUAAAUCUAAUUCCCUACAGUUUUUCUAACAUACAUUACAUGCAAUGUAUCUGAAUGAAAAGAAGGCUGAACUGAAGCUUUCUCUGUACUUAAGUGGUCCAGAAGCAUUAACAGUAGCAACCGAAAAGCAUUUGGUUACAAAUUGUGUCCUUGGUAAUGUUUCUGAAAGGAAACAGUUUCAUUCUGUUAAUGUUAAUUUCUAACCUGCACGUUUAAAUUUUUUAAGAAAAAUGUCUUAUGCAAGUAUUACAUGUUUGCUACCUUUCAUAUAAUACACGUUUGACUUUUUAAAAAAGUAAUAUAGAAUUAAAGUAAAAUUUUCUUUUAUUUCUAGGAAGACUAUUCACUAUGCUUAUUUAGCCACAUUUGACUACUUUAAAUCUUAACCUCUUUUUUUCUGGGGCACAAAUUACAGGGAUGUGGGAAAGUUUAGUGUAUCACUUUAAAGUUUUUUUCCAAAAUGAACUUUUAAAAAUAAAUUACUGCUGUUAUAUUUUAAUCUAUCAUUCAGCACUUACUGAGACCUUUUAUGUGGUAGGCAGUAUAAAAAGCACUGGAGAUAAGAUGACAUUUCAGAUACUCUCACUGGCCUUCAGGUUUCAGCUGUGAUUGCUACAAGUAUACAAAAGGAGUGAUGGAAAAGAAUUCUCCCCUCAGCCUGUGGUGGAGGGACUGGUCAGGAAAUGCUUCUAAGAUUAGGACAUGCGAUCCAAUUAAACAUACCUGGAGGUUGGGAGUCUUCAAUCAGGCAGUGGUAUUUAGCGCCAGUGGCUUGAGCAGAGAGUAUAUAUGGCCAUGAGGUAGGAGAUAAGAUUGGAAAUGGAGUCCAAGGGGCCUUGUCUGCCAAAGGAGGAACAAGAAGCAACAGGGAGCCAAGUAAGUAUUUUUGGCACAGCUUUAGAAGUUACAGUUGUGUUCUGUUUUGUUUUUCCCCCAAGACCAGUAUUUUCUUUUAACUGAAAGAAAAUAGGGUAGCACAGUUUAGCACAGCUAUAGAACAGAAAACACUAGAAUGUGUCAUGUGUUAAGGCCAAGUGCUGUGUAGUGAAACUUUGGUUUUAGUUGGGUUUUAGAAAAAUAACUGGCAGUAUGAAAAAUAGGACUUAUAAUAAGGUGAUCUAUUUAAAAACAGAAGUUUUGGUUUGGAUUAAAAUAUAUUUUUAAAAGGUACCACUGUGACAUUGGUAUAAUUUUAUCUUCUAUCAAUCAGUGAAGAAAAAACAAAUGCUAAAGCAAAAUACAAGGUGCUUUGCUUACAGAAGAGCAAAGUGGACUAGUUUUAAAAAAAAUAAGGAGCCCUGAUGUUCAAAGCAGUCAUGUGACAUUUCCAAGGUAAUCCAAUGUAUUAGUUUAUCAAAACUAGAAACUGUAACCAACAACAGGAAAUUUAACAAAGAAUUUACAUAAGUUGUAAAUUUGAGAAACAUUUUUAACCACUUGAAAACUUGUAUGUAAAUCUAAUAAAGAUGACUU
ensembl:lncRNA